CAUCGUUUGCAACGGCCUUUGUUUUGGAAUAUCAAUCCUACAGUGUCGUCAUAAAACUCUCUCUGCUCAUCAACAGAAAGUGGAAAUAAACAGAAUUUUCCUACUCUAACACCGACGCUAGAAUUGAGGCUUUCCAUAAUUAGUCGAGACUGGGGACCUUAUUAGAACUACCUCUGAUAUAAUAGGAUUUAAAGAUGUCUGGUGGUCGACGAUGAUCAGAGUCUGACUGUAUAGUAUGAAAAUGCUAAUACUGAUCAUACAACAAGUACAGACUAAUACUGAUUAGACGGUAGCAGUGUUCCACUAUAAUGGAAAAACUGACAGUAGUUAGGACGCAAUUUGAUAUUGGACAGAAUGAAUGCAGAGUUUCUGCUUAAUGCUUUAAUCAUGCCAAAUUCUGGUGAGAAAAAAGGUGCAUUUUGAAUAAUUUAAUGAUUAUGAAGUCGUCAGACAGAUAGAAAAUUGAUUUUUAAAGCGUUCUGGGACUUGGUAAAGAUCUAGAUCGCCUGCGUAUCCUUCAACUCCGCGUUCAGAACAUUUCUUUUAGACUGUCCCACAGCGCGAAUCAAACCCAGUGACCCAUAUUACAGAAGGACAGAGGCAAAGGACGCAAGUGGCCGAGUUUUCCAUUUGAACCUCCUUGGAGAAUAUUUGACAAGAGUAAAGGGGAAGGAGGGCUGUGUGAGUGAUCAGAAAAUGGGGCCGUGCGUACACCACUUGUUUCCCUGAGCUCUGAGGGGACGGGUAGAAACGUCUAACACAAACUUCCACUUGAGCGAAUCGUUGCAAUGGAGAAUUUGCUGAGACGUUUCUCAAGGGCAUCGUGGAGAUUUAUUUUUCAAUCUCAACAUGAACACACGAGCAAGACAGAUCAAGCUAAUUUCCUCCCAGCCCCUCUCGUUCCCCGCUCUUUUUUUUUGGUGGGGAGAAAAGGCAACACCACCAACGGCGGCGGCGGUACCUUCAGCGUCGGCCGAAAUAAAAUGGUGAAGUUUAGUUUCCCGACUGGGAGCUGAAGAGGCGGUUUGAGCGCGUAAGUGGUUUCCUCAGGAGCGCAGUUAAUGGGGGUUCGUCUCAGCAAAAGCUAGGUGUCAUUCGGCCUAGACAGCCCAGGGACCAGUUGGCUGAUUCUGAAUGAAAACCGGUUUGGCGGGCAGAAGGACAGGACUGAAUGUUUUGUCUACAAAUAUAAAAGAACAGCAAGUAUGGACCCAAAGAUUUUGUGCGAAUUGUGUGUUGAUAGUUUGCUCUGGACUGUGGAAAGUGAUGGAAGGUUGCAGCUUUUUAUUUAGCGAAUCCCACGCAAAAUCACAAAUGAGUGAUUUUGCAACGAAGAUCUUGUUACAGAAAGCAGCAACCAGGGAGGGAGAAUAGCGGACAUCACGACUGACUGUGAUACAAUGGCGGUAGAUUAAUCUGUGUACUUAUGUAUUCUCAGAUGUCAUCCCCCUCCCCACAACAUAAAUAAAAAGUGAAUCAACAUUUA